UACGGAGGGUGCAAGCGUUGUUCGGAAUCACUGGGCGUAAAGGGUGCGUAGGCGGAUUGUUAAGUGAAAUGUGAAAGCCUGAGGCUCAACCUCAGAACUGCAUUUCAAACUGGCUUUCUCGAGUAUAGAAGAGGUAAGUGGAAUUCUCAGUGUAGCGGUGAGAUGCGUAGAUAUUGAGAGGAACACCAGCGGUGAAAACGGCUUACUAUUUUGUUACUGACGCUGAGGCACGAAGGCUAGGGGAGCAAACAGG
rnacentral:rRNA from 1 species